rnacentral:rRNA from 1 species
GAUGAACGCUGGUGGCGUGCCUAAUACAAGCAAGUCGAGCGAAUGGAUUAAGAGCUUGCUCUUAUGAAGUUAGCGGCGGACGGGUGAGUAACACGUGGGUAACCUGCCCGUAAGACUGGGAUAACGCCGGGAAACCGGGGCUAAUACCGGAUAACAUUUUGAACCGCAUGGUUCGAAAUUGAAAGGCGGCUUCGGCUGUCACUUAUGGAUGGACCCGCGUCGCAUUGGCUAGUUGGUGAGGUAACGGCUCACCAAGGCAACGAUGCGUAGCCGACCUGGGAGGGUGAUCGGCCACACUGGGACUGAGACACGGCCAAGACUCCUACGGGAGGCAGCAGUAGGGAAUCUUCCGCAAUGGACGAAAGUCUGACGGAGCAACGCCGCGUGAGUGAUGAAGGCUUUCGGGUCGUAAAACUCUGUUGUUAGGGAAGAACAAGUGCUAGUUGAAUAAGCUGGCACCUUGACGGUACCUAACCAGAAAGCCACGGCUAACUACGUGCCAGCAGCCGCAGUAA